rnacentral:lncRNA from 1 species
CAAGGUGCAUAGCAACCAGCAUUAUUAUAGUCUACUUAAUAGUGUGUGCUACCUGCCAGGAUUGUACAUUAAGAAAAGGAAAGACUAGUGGGACCUGUUUGUCAGGCCCUAAAACUAGAAUUUUCCUGGUUAUACACACCACAAAAUGAGUGUCAGCAACAUUAAAUAGUGGCAAGAGUGAUGGGAUCAAAAAGUUUGACUCGUGGUCUGCUGUCAUUAUUAGAUGAUGUAAAGAGUGUUUAAACCUUGAGAUGGUGAUGGGUGACUUCAUAGAAAAUGUGGACUCCAGAGCUAAAAUGUUCCAAGCAGCUGAUUGGAGGCGAUGAUUGAAAACUUUCAUCUCCUCCAAU